AAAAGAAAUAGGGUCCAGCUACUGGAGGCAGAAGGGCUGGCAUGAGAACAGGAAGGAAAGAAUAUGGUGGAGGAGCUGAGAAGCAUAAUGGAAUCAUUUCCUGAGGUAGAGCUGUUCUCAGGAGCACUGCUGUGAGAGAAGGAGCCGAAGUUUGUGGCCUACUCAUAGUGAGCACCUGCUUACUGCAGCAAACCACAUCCAAGAAAAGUAAAAAAAAUAAAAUAGAAAAUCGUGGCAAAAGGAAUACUGAAUGUUUAGCCAAAGGUGAAGGAAAGCCGGAGGCAGAGAUUCAGUAGUCUGAAUGGUGCUGCUUUUUGUGCCUGUAAAGAAACUAAAUUUCUAGUAGGGCCCUCUGAUGUAGCGAGGAAUGGUCAUUAAGGACUUCUGUGAUAUAUUUUUCAGUAGCAGAAUUGGAUGUUCAGUAAACCUGAUGGUGAAAAAGUACAUGUGAAGAAAAAACAUUAAUUAAAGAAUCAUCUUUUUCCCUUCUAUAAAAGAAGGUGCUGAAAUACACCUGUAUAUGACUGGGAGUAAGCCGAGUAAAAGGGACAAAUAAAGAGAACAAAUGUGAAAGCUAAGACAUAAGGACUUCUGUGAAGGUUGUCGGCGUGAGUCCUUCAAAACUGGGAAGCAGAAGCAUUUCACGUGGAAAAAAACACAGCUAAUGUGAUCUAGGAGAUGCAGCAGAAAAGGUCAACCAAGGGGACAGUACCGAAAGUAAAUCGGAGAGGAAGAGGAAGGAAUAAUCAUGAGAGAACUGAUGGCCAGGAGGAGUCAUUGUCACAGGCAGACACUCAUUGUAGUGUUUUGUAACUUUCUUCUCUUGUUCCAUAUGUUUUCAGCAUUCCAGUGACUUCAGACAGUGUAAGGUAGCUGAAAAAUACAAAACCGAAUAUAAAUUUGCAGUUGUAUGUGAUAUAAUUUCCAAAAAUAUCUUCAGUAUAAUACAGUAUGGUUAUUAUUCAAGUCAAGUGAGUUGCAUCAAAAUAACGUUUUCUUUCCUUAAAGAGGAAUGAAUUUGCUACAUUAGAGGUGGGUUUAUAUUAGGUCUCAUUAACUUUUGUUUAUUGCUUGAACUUUUGGAUGCUGUUUCUGUGAUUUGUGUACGUUCAUUUGAGGAAAGGCAAAUAUUUGUAAGAGUGAUGAGUAGAGCAAAUAUAUUGGAGCUGGAGCUUUAGUAACAGCACCCUUCUAGGAUGAUUUGCAGUAUAAAAUAAUUACUGAGUGCUCCUGCAGAAAUGCUGUUCACUGGUGAAAGAGGCAUAAGCAAAAUUAUACUGCAAAGAAAAUAAGAGUAAUUCCAGAGUUUUGGGGUGAAAUAAAAUAUGAUAAAGGUAGUAAAAUAUUAUCCAUUUCUUUUGAAGUUUUGCCACUUAUCCAAGAGGUGACUGUUAGCGUUAGGA
ensembl:lncRNA